rnacentral:rRNA from 1 species
UACGUAGGGUGCGAGCGUUGUCCGGAAUUAUUGGGCGUAAAGGGCUCGUAGGCGGUUUGUCGCGUCGGGAGUGAAAUCCACUGGCUUAACUGGUGGCUUGCUUUCGAUACGGGCAGACUGGAGGUAUGCAGGGGAGAACGGAAUUCCAGGUGUAGCGGUGAAAUGCGUAGAUAUCUGGAGGAACACCGGUGGCGAAGGCGGCAUCCUGGACCGAUACUGACGCUGAGGAGCGAAAGCCAGGGGAGCAAACGGG